rnacentral:rRNA from 1 species
AGGACGAACGCUGGCGGCGUGCUUAACACAUGCAAGUCGAACGGAAAGGCCCUUUCGGGGGGUACUCGAGUGGCGAACGGGUGAGUAACACGUGGGUGAUCUGCCCUGCACUUCGGGAUAAGCUUGGGAAACUGGGUCUAAUACCGGAUAGGACUACGGACUUCAUGGUUUAUGGUGGAAAGCUUUUGCGGUGUGGGAUGGGCCCGCGGCCUAUCAGCUUGUUGGUGGGGUGAUGGCCUACCAAGGCGACGACGGGUA